UACGUAGGGGGCAAGCGUUGUCCGGAAUUAUUGGGCGUAAAGAGCGUGUAGGCGGUCCGGUAAGUCAGCUGUGAAAGUCAAGGGCUCAACCCUUGAAUGCCGGUGGAUACUGUCGGGCUAGAGUGCGGAAGAGGCGAGUGGAAUUCCUGGUGUAGCGGUGAAAUGCGCAGAUAUCAGGAGGAACACCGAUUGCGAAGGCAGCUCGCUGGGACGUAACUGACGCUGAGACGCGAAAGCGUGGGGAGCAAACAGG
rnacentral:rRNA from 1 species